CUCCCCUAUUCACUCUCCGAAAAGGAAAAGCCUAUAUGCUCCCUCGCCUCUCUCCUCUCCUCCGCACUCUCUAUUCUCCCUUCCCUUCUUCAGUUCAAAUGGCGCGCUUUUUCUCACGCGCCACCUCUGUCCCUCUCUUCAAUCCUUCCCCAACCGCUGUAAUCUCCUCCAUUCACUCAUCUUCAAGCCUAUUCUUCACUCCCAAAUCGAACCACUUCCUUGUCCCUUGGUUAUCGAAACGUUCCACUUUUGGUAAAAAGUUUCACGCUUUGUGCGGAGAAGGCGAUGGGAGGAGGAUUCUGCGGCAAAUAGGAGGGAGGGUUUGGGCGGCGCAGAGAGGAUACCGGAAAGUGAGGAGGAGGCCGUUGCCGAGGAUUAAAGAUAAGGAGUUGGAGCUUAAUGUCAGCAUUUGCAUUGAAGAAGAGCUGCCCGAUGAUCCUGAAAUCUUGAGUAUAGCAGAAUUGCUUCGUCUUAACGUGCCAAUGGCAAUGAAGUUAGCAUUCGAUGGCUUAAAAGAUUCAGCUUAUAAAACGAGAGAUAAGGCUAUAAGUGAUGUUGGGAGAUUUCAAAGUGUUGAAUUAUCUGUCCUCCUUUGCAAUGAUGAGUUCAUUCGCAAACUUAAUAAGGAAUGGAGGGAUGAGGACCAUGCUACUGAUGUUCUUUCCAUGUCACAACAUGUUCCUGAACUCAAGCUUCCAGUUCUUAUGUUGGGGGACAUUGUCAUCUCUGUUGAGACAGCUGCACGACAAGCAGAGGAAAGGGGGCAUGCUCUUAUUGAUGAAAUUCGCAUCCUCCUGGUUCAUGGUUUGCUGCAUCUUUUAGGAUUUGAUCAUGAGAUUAGUGAAGAGGCUGAAGCUGAAAUGGAGAAGGAGGAGGAACUUCUUUUAAAGAGCCUUGGGUGGAAGGGAAAAGGACUAAUUCAGAGUGCAUAUGAUGCUGAGACUAAUAUGAAUCUUCAAACAGAAAAUUUAGAUGACAGGAAGAAAGAAGGCAGUCUUCGAUUCUAUAAACCAAAAUUCAGCUAUAUCUUUUGCGACAUGGAUGGAACAUUGCUGAACAGCAAAAGUCAAAUUUCCUUGACAAAUGCAAAGGCUUUGAAAGAAGCAGUGUCAAGGGGAAUGAAGGUGGUGAUAGCAACUGGAAAAGCUCGACCUGCUGUGAUAAGUAUUUUGGAGAUGGUGGAUUUAGCUGGUAAAGAUGGCAUUAUCUCAGAGUUCUCUCCUGGAGUUUUUUUACAGGGGUUGCUUGUUUAUGGUAGACAGGGUCGGGAAAUUUUUAGAAGCAAUUUAGAUCCAAGUGUUUGCAGAGAGGCAUGCCUCUACUCUUGGGAGCAUAAGGUUCCUCUUAUUGCAUUCAGCAAUGACCGUUGCUUAACACUAUUUGAUCACCCCCUUGUUGAUUCAUUGCAUACCAUAUAUCGUGAGCCAAAGGCAGAGAUCAUGCCUUCAGUUGAGCAUCUCCUGUCUGCUGCUGACAUACAGGUACAGUCACAAAAAUGGUUUUGUGUUUGUUCCGAAGCAUCAAAGAGAAACAGUAUAGAUGUGACAUACUUGAAAGGUGCACAAAUCAAAUAGUUUCAUUUAUAAUGGAACAACAGAAAGAAAGGGAAGAAAUACAAACAAUUAACGUUGAGUGUGUGACAGAUGGUUCGGGUCAAGGUUUAUUUAUGGGUAUUAACUGAGUUGCUAUAUUUCAGUUUGAAUUUGGUUAAUGAUGUCUUGAAUUAUAUGAUUGUAAUCCUUGGAAAAAUCAUUUCACAUUUCAGUGCAUCUUACAAAAAUGUAAAUAAUUUGAUUUUAGUUGUGUUGUGAUCAGAAUCCGGAACAAGCGGGAGCCAUGGGUUCUGCCUUGUUGAUAUAUGCAUAUAUGUACAUCUAAACAUGUACUUGUGUAUGUAAACCUUGGAAAAAAUUGAUGUACAUCAGGAGUGCAGGUGUUCUUUUCCCCCUUUUUGACUAUUCCAAUCUUUGGUUUUACAGAAGAUGAUCUUUUUAGGCACUGCUGAGGGUGUGGCUACUUCAUUGCGGCCAUACUGGUCAGAAGCAACAGGGGAUCGUGCCAAUGUUGUCCAAGCUGUUCCAGACAUGCUUGAAAUUGUUCCACGUGGAACCUCAAAGGGCAUUGGAGUAGAACUGCUGCUUGAUCAUUUGGGUGUCACUGCAAAGGAGAUAAUGGCUAUUGGUGAUGGGGAAAAUGACAUUGAGAUGCUUGAGUUGGCCUCUUUAGGCAUUGCUCUUAGCAAUGGAUCCGAGAAGACAAAAGCUGUGGCGGAUAUAAUUGGUGGCAGCAAUGAUGAAGAUGGUGUAGCAGAUGCCAUCUAUCGGUAUGCAUUCUGAGCUUUUACGUUCAAGUGUGAAAUUUUGGGCAAAAACCACAUUACAUGAUAUCUAUGAUUUGGGAUGUAACAUUCCAAUUUUUAUAGCUUAUUGUUCUUUCUGAAGAAUGAUUAGGUGAUCCUACCAAAAUAGGGUAGAGAAUUCUUCUCUUCUUUUUUUAUUGAUUUAAUGAAUAAGUAGGGCAUUACCCAGGGUUGAUCCUGUUGAAGAGGGGUCCCCGAUUGGGUCAUCUGAACUGGAAUUCAGAUUCUGAACACAAUUUAUCUCAUUUCAUUGAAUGUACUAUUUCAACCGGAUAGAGUCUCUUACGAGGCCUUUUGUACACAAAACUGAUGCCAUUGUUAAUUUAUAUAUGAGAUUUUGAUAUAUA
rnacentral:misc_RNA from 1 species